AUGGUCCUCGUGGAUGAGGGAACUGAUGAAAACGGUGUGUGUACAGAAAUCAUCACCCCAGUGACGAACAGUCAGGGUGAGAAGAAGAAGGUGGGUCUUCCUUGCUGGCAUUGGUUGGCGAGCAGCCGGAUCCAGGGCUCCUUUUGGAAAGUGGGUUGGGGGUGUAGAGCACGAGGCUCUUUCCCAGUCAUAGCGAUGCCCAAGUCGUACAUGCCCUGGACGCAAGUCUAUCCUGUAGAUGGUGCUUUGUGGUAAGAUAC
rnacentral:lncRNA from 1 species